UACGAAGGGGGCUAGCGUUGCUCGGAAUCACUGGGCGUAAAGCGCACGUAGGCGGCUUACUAAGUCAGGGGUGAAAUCCUGGAGCUCAACUCCAGAACUGCCUUUGAUACUGGUGAGCUUGAGUCCGGAAGAGGUGAGUGGAACUGCGAGUGUAGAGGUGAAAAUUCGUAGAUAUUCGCAAGAACACCAGUGGCGAAGGCGGCUCACUGGUCCGGUACUGACGCUGAGGUGCGAAAGCGUGGGGAG
rnacentral:rRNA from 1 species